AUUGAACGCUGGCGGCAUGCCUUACACAUGCAAGUCGAACGGUAACAGGUCUUCGGAUGCUGACGAGUGGCGAACGGGUGAGUAAUACAUCGGAACGUGCCCAGUCGUGGGGGAUAACGAAGCGAAAGCUUUGCUAAUACCGCAUACGAUCUACGGAUGAAAGCGGGGGAUCGCAAGACCUCGCGCGAUUGGAGCGGGCGAUGGCAGAUUAGGUAGUUGGUGGGGUAAAGGCUUACCAAGCCUACGAUCUGUAGCUGGUCUGAGAGGACGACCAGCCACACUGGGACUGAGACACGGCCCAGACUCCUACGGGAGGCAGCAGUGGGGAAUUUUGGACAAUGGGCGCAAGCCUGAUCCAGCAAUGCCGCGUGCAGGAUGAAGGCCUUCGGGUUGUAAACUGCUUUUGUACGGAACGAAAAGCUCUGGGUUAAUACCCUGGGGUCAUGACGGUACCGUAAGAAUAAGCACCGGCUAACUACGUGCCAGCAGCCGCCGUAA
rnacentral:rRNA from 1 species